CCGCGUGUGUGAAGAAGGUCUUCGGAUUGUAAAGCACUUUCGACAGGGACGAUGAUGACGGUACCUGUAGAAGAAGCCCCGGCUAACUUCGUGC
rnacentral:rRNA from 1 species